ACCGAACGCUGGCGGCAGGCUUAACACAUGCAAGUCGAGCGGGGACUUCGGUCCUAGCGGCGAACGGGUGAGGAAUGCUUGGGAAUCUGCCCAGUAGCGGGGGAUAACGUUUCGAAAGGAACGCUAAUACCGCAUACGCCCUACGGGGGAAAGGGGGGGAUCUUCGGACCUCUCACUAUUGGAUGAGCCCAAGUCGGAUUAGCUAGUUGGUGGGGUAAAGGCCUACCAAGGCGACGAUCCGUAGCUGGUCUGAGAGGAUGAUCAGCCACACUGGAACUGAGACACGGUCCAGACUCCUACGGGAGGCAGCAGUGGGGAAUAUUGGACAAUGGGCGAAAGCCUGAUCCAGCCAUGCCGCGUGUGUGAAGAAGGCCUUCGGGUUGUAAAGCACUUUAAGCGAGGAGGAAUGGCUGAGGGUUAAUAACCUUCAGCAGUGACGUUACUCGCAGAAUAAGCACCGGCUAACUCUGUGCCAGCAGCCGCAGUAAUAC
rnacentral:rRNA from 1 species